AUGUACGUUCCUAUAGCGUUAUUGCAUUGGAUCCCAUCAGAAUUUUGUAGUUAAGCGUGUUUGGUCUAGAGUAGUGGUGGGAUGGGUGAUCUUCCGGGAAGUCCUAGUGUUUUACAUG
rnacentral:rRNA from 1 species